rnacentral:lncRNA from 1 species
UCUUAUUUAAUUAAUAUAUCAAAUGACUUUCGAAACGCUUUAAACACCAAAUACUUAGGCAUCGUUUUCCACUUCAAUUUUCUAAAUAAGGGGAAAUUUAAAAUUCGUUGAAAUUAAAAUUGAGUGGAUUUAAAACAAAAAAAAUGACCGAAAAGUCCCUGCAAACCCUACCCUUAUCUAUCAUCAUUGUCUUCCACCUUCUUCAUCUCCCAAAAAAUCACAGAUGACAGCAACCAGUCGUUGGAAAUCGAAAUCAUCUUCGUCCAUUAAACGCAGAAUCCUACAAAAUCAGAUAGUAUCAACUACAAAAACAUUGCAAAACUCUACUGUAGUCAUAUUCGAAUAAAGUGAAGGAUACUUACGUGGUCGAUGAAAUCGAGGAAGAUGAGUGACGACUACUGCACUCAAGAACGACGACGACCAGAAGAUACAAGAUGAGAUCGACCCCGUGCAAAAUGAGUGGGAUUUGGAUAAUCC